GUUGGCGUCAUUCCAGUUCCAAACGGCGAGGUGGGGGGAGUGCCGGUGUGCCGUCUAGGAUCUGGAAUCAGUCGCUUGACGCUUCCUGAGUGUGGCCAGGCGUGUGCGGUCGCUGUGAACUGCAAAAUCGUUUGGAAGAGACUUUAAAACGUUUGCUGUUUCCCUGUUCGAUAAACAGAGAAGGGCGUUCAAGAAAUCAACGGCUUUAGCUGAAGCCUGAUUUGAAGUCAAUUGGAUUCAUAUUUGACAAGUUUUCAAACAAGUAUCCACAGAAUCUAAAUAUUUAAGAUCGCUCACAAUUAGAGUAUCUGCUGCUCUGUGUUACUCUAAAGCAUAAAGAUUACCUGUCAAUCAGAAACAACCAUGGCGGAGGGAGGAGUCAAACCAAAUAUAUCACAGCAAGCACUUGUGAAAAAUGAGAUCCCAGAUGUGAAAUUCAUUUCUACUCCAUCUGGGGAAGUUACUCCAACAAGAGCAUCAUCAGCUGCCUCAGGAGGAAGAAGAAUAACAGCCCAGCAAGGCAUAUCUGUUGCUAUUCUCUGCUUCAUAAAUCUGAUCAAUUACAUGGACCGGUUCACAGUGGCUGGCAUCCUGACUGAAAUCCAGGACCACUAUGGUGUCAACGACUCAAUGGCUGGACUGCUGCAGACUGUGUUCAUAGUCUCCUACAUGAUAUUUGCUCCUCUGUUUGGGUUCCUCGGUGACCGGUACAACAGGAAGUGGAUCAUGGCUCUGGGGGUGUUCAUCUGGUCACUGACUACACUGCUUGGCUCAUUUAUGGAGACGUUCACCGGGUUCAUCCUGAUGCGUGCCGCGGUGGGUAUCGGCGAGGCCAGCUACUCGACGAUCGCGCCCACCCUCAUCUCCGACAUGUUCGCCAAGGACCUGCGCUCCAUCAUGCUGGCCGUCUUCUACUUCGCCAUCCCCAUCGGCAGCGGUCUGGGCUACAUCGUCGGCUCUGGCGCCUCUUCGCUGGCCGGCCAGUGGCAGUGGGGGCUGCGCGUGACGCCCAUCCUGGGAGCCGUCGCCGUCAUCCUGCUGAUUGUGGUGCUGGUCGACCCGCCACGUGGAGAGAGUGAGGGCACGUCCAACCUGCAGCCCACCACGUGGUCGCAGGACCUCAAGGCCCUCGUCAGAAAUCCGAGUUUCGUGCUGGGCACUCUGGGCUUCACGUGCGUGGCUUUCGUUGCCGGAGCCCUCUCGUGGUGGGGCCCCAAAUACGUCACCGACGGCCUCAAGCUGCAGGUCGGAGACGAGAACGCCGACAUCAACGACGUGUCGUUCAUAUUCGGCGUGGUGACCAUGCUGGCCGGCCUGGUGGGCGUCUCCCUGGGCUCGUUCUCCGCUACCCGGCUGCGGCCGCGCUUCCCGCGCGCUGACCCGGUGGUCUGUGCUGCCGGUCUGCUGCUCUCCAUGCCGUUCAUGUUCGGCGGCGCCAUCGUGUGCCAGUACAGCACCAACUGGGCGUAUGUGCUGCUGUUCAUCGGACAGGUGUUCCUCAACCUCAACUGGUCCAUCGUGGCGGAUAUGCUGCUGUACGUGGUGGUACCGACGCGCCGCUCCACGGCCGAGGCGUUCCAGAUCCUGGCCUCGCACCUGUUCGGAGAUGCCGGUAGUCCCUACCUGAUCGGCAUUGUCUCGGACGCCCUGCAGCGCUAUUUCUCGUCCUCCUCCGACCCGACGUCCUCGGCAGCGGCCGUCCAGGCGGCGGCCAACUCCACGCUCGGCCUGCCGCCCAACGCCACUGAGGCCAGCCUCGUGGAGACGGUAUCGCUCGCGCUGGCCGCCCCCAGCUCGGGAAACGACGACGUCGACACGUACACCCAGUUCAAGAGCAUGCAGUACGCCCUGUUCAUCACCAUGUUCGUGGAGGUGCUGGGCGGAGUGUUCUUCCUCAUCAACGCGGCCUACAUCGUCCGAGAUCGGGAACGGGCGCGCCGCCUGACGGCCGCGGUGCGGGCCGCCCUGGGGCGAUUCCGGUAUCUGAAGCGCCCUCGCUCCUCUUCCGUGCCUCCGCCGGUGGAGAUUGGCCGCUUCCACCGCCGGCUCAUGUCCACCUGAGUCCACAUCCUCGCCUGUCCACCCGGUCCACAUCGGACUUCCACACCUGACUGGCUCACGGCGGCAAUCCGGACGCUGUGGCCGACAUACCAACCAACCACGUCUUCGCCGACGACCCCAUGUUCCGGGAACAGACCAGGGAGCUGCUCUCCUAGGCCGCCGCCCGGACUCGCGGCUAGUGGUGGCGUCUGGUCGCGUCUGUGGUCGUCUGUCGGGUUCGGCUCGUGGUGUGUGGCUGGUGCCGUCCCGUGGCCGCCGCCGCCGGCCGCUGGCUGUCCUUAGUGUGGUACCACGGGUUGUGAGACCAGUCUGUCUGUAAUGCGGGUGGCUGACUUAGUCAAAUGUCAACAAAUCGCCGGUAUCGGCCCCUCACUGGGCCUCAGUUCGCCCCUCAGUCAAGUGGGCAUUGCUGAAUCGGAACACUAACGCAGUCAGGCGCGAGCGCGUCCGCUGAGCUUGCCAAUUCAACCGUGUUCUUCCAGUUGCUCAAGCGGCGUGCGGCGCGCUCUCGAGCGUGACUGGGACGCGCAGCGCUCCCCGGCCACUAGCAGGGCCCGAUCUCUCCGCUCGGCUUGUGCCGCGUCCCCCGCGCUCGUCCCUGUACACGGUCCCUCUGUCAGAGGUUGUACGUGGUCCUGUGCUGGAGCCUGUAUCACGACCACCCGCCCUGUUCUAGAAAUGAUGGGAGUACCGCCGGAGGCCCUGGAUCAGUGGAACGUGUUCCAUCCAGAGUGGCUGGAGCAGCUGCAGGCCCGCAAGCAGGAGUCAAACGCGGCGGAAAUCUCGUCUGUUGGCUCUGGAGGGCGAUAGUACUCGGCUGAUCUAUACUACGGAGCCGUGAUGGCCGUGCGUGAGCUCUGACGGAGCCAUGGUGGCGGUACGUGAGCUCUAACGGAGCCACAGCGGCCGUUCAUGAGCUCUAACGGAGCCACAGCGGCCGUUUAUGAGCUCUAACGGAGCCGCGACCACCGUCUGUGAGCUCCCAUCUCUGUCAGAGUCAUGGCAGCUGUGAGGGAGUCUGGGCGAUACGGCGGGGCUGUACGGCCGUGAUAAGCCCGCGGGGCUGUCGGAGCUGGGCGGGAGCUCUGACGGCCGCCGGCCCACCGUGUGUGAUAGUUGUACUGCUCUGUGGGCGGCUAGCCGGUGUCAAUACUGUACAAUGGUGCCCCCCGCCGGAUCCCGUGCUGUACAUAGGUGGACCUGACGGAUCAAAAUGUGUAGCGCUGUAUAUGUUGAAUGUGCGUCGUGUGCUGACUGAAGUUACUGCAGAUAUUUCUGAAUAUAUCCAGCUGUGUUGUU
rnacentral:misc_RNA from 1 species